rnacentral:lncRNA from 1 species
AACUGGUGUCUGUUGUAUGAGGCGAUAAGAGUUUUUAAUCAGACACACAGCUUAUUUAUUUUUUUCAGAAAUAUAGGAGGGAAGGAUCCUUCUAGAGAAAUGUUACUGCAAUAACCUUGACACUAAUUACUAAAUAUUAAACGAACAUUUUAAUAUUAAGAGUGCAAUAGAAAUGUGCAGCUGGUUAUACCUGGGUGAAAUGUCCUCUACAUUCUAUGACUGUUUGUUAUACAUCUCCUAGCAAAGAUGACACUCCUGGUAUGAUAUUUACCAAGCUUGAGAAAAUUGUUGUAAAGCAAAUCCUGGACGUGACAUUAUUUCACCCAUAAAUACUUCAACAUGCUUCAUCAGUAAGGACAUACUCAUGCUAUGGUGUUCAAUGAAAUUUUGCCUACCUCAGAAUCACAAAGACUUUCUCCUAGGAGUUUCAUAGUUUUAGGUCUUACAUUUAGGACUGUAAUCCAUUUUGAGUUAAUUUUUGUGUACACUAUGAGAUAGAUGGACCCGAGUUUUCUGUGACUUAGUGACUUGCCCUAAGUGUGCCAAGUUCUGCAGGACCUCUGCAUUGGUUUAUGUGGCUGAUUUCUAAACUUACUCAUUUACCUCAAAAUCAUCUCUAUUUCAGUAGGUCCUGUAAAGAAAAAGCUAGAAGGAGGCCAUCUAGAAACAAGGAAGAGAGCUCUUCCCAGAAACUGAAUUGGCUAGCACCUUGAUCAUGAACUUCUAGCCUCUAGAACUGUGAGGAAAUAAAUUUCUGUUGUUUAAGGCACCAAGUCUGUGGCAUUUUGUUAUGGAGACACAGCAGAAUAAUGUAGGAG